AGGAUUAACGCUGGCGGCGUGCCUAACACAUGCAAGUCGAACGAGGUAGCAAUACCUAGUGGCAGACGGGUGAGUAACGCGUGGUCAACCUACCGUUGAGUGGGGGAUAACUAACCGAAAGGUUAGCUAAUACCGCAUACGUGUCCGAGGGGCAUCCCUUGGCCAUAAAAGGAGCAAUCCGCUCGAUGACGGGACCGCGUCCCAUUAGCUAGUUGGUGGGGUAACGGCCUACCAAGGCACCGAUGGGUAGCUGGUUUGAGAGAGCGACCAGCCACACUGGGACUGAGAAACGGCCCAGACUCCUACGGGAGGCAGCAGUGAGGAAUUUUCCGCAAUGGGCGAAAGCCUGACGGAGCGACGCCGCGUGUGGGAAGAAGGCCUUCGGGUCGUAAACCACUGUCGAAGGGGACGAUAAUGACGGUACCCUUGGAGGAAGCCCGGCUAACUACGUGCCAGCAGCCGC
rnacentral:rRNA from 1 species